rnacentral:rRNA from 1 species
UACGGAGGGAGCUAGCGUUGUUCGGAAUUAUUGGGCGUAAAGAGCUCGUAGGCGGCUUGUCACGUCGGGUGUGAAAGACCGGGGCUUAACUCCGGUUCUGCAUUCGAUACGGGCUAGCUAGAGUGUGGUAGGGGAGAUCGGAAUUCCUGGUGUAGCGGUGAAAUGCGCAGAUAUCAGGAGGAACACCGGUGGCGAAGGCGGAUCUCUGGGCCAUUACUGACGCUGAGGAGCGAAAGCGUGGGGAGCGAACAGG